UACGAAGGGGGCUAGCGUUGUUCGGAAUUACUGGGCGUAAAGGGCGCGUAGGCGGUACUUCAAGUCAGGCGUGAAAGCCCCGGGCUCAACCUGGGAACCGCGCUUGAGACUGGAGAACUAGAGUUCGGGAGAGGAUGGUGGAAUUCCCAGUGUAGAGGUGAAAUUCGUAGAUAUUGGGAAGAACACCGAUGGCGAAGGGCAGCCAUCUGGACCGACACUGACGCUGAGGCGCGAAAGCGUGGGGAGCAAACAGG
rnacentral:rRNA from 1 species